rnacentral:hammerhead_ribozyme from 1 species
AUCCAGCUGAUGAGUCCCAACUAGGACGAAACGCGUGUCCUCGAU